UCUUAAUACAUGCAAGUCGAGGGGCAGCGGGAGUAGCAAUACUUGCCGACCGGCGCACGGGUGCGUAACGCGUAUGCAACCUACCUUUAACCGGAGGAUAGCCCCGAGAAAUCGGGAUUAAUACUUUAUAACAUUGCGAAGAGGCAUCUCUUUGCAAUUAAAGCUCCGGCGGUUAUUGAUGGGCAUGCGUGACAUUAGCUAGUUGGUGAGGUGACGGCUCACCAAGGCUACGAUGUCUAGGGGUUCUGAGAGGAUUUUCCCCCACACUGGUACUGAGACACGGACCAGACUCCUACGGGAGGCAGCAGUAAGGAAUAUUGGGCAAUGGACGCAAGUCUGACCCAGCCAUGCCGCGUGAAGGAUGACGGCCCUACGGGUUGUAAACUUCUUUUGUACGGGAAAAAACCCCUGAUCGUGUAUCGGGGCUGAUGGUACCGUAAGAAUAAGCAUCGGCUAACUCCGUGCCAGCAGCCGCGGUAAUACGGAGGAUGCAAGCGUUAUCCGGAUUCAUUGGGUUUAAAGGGUGCGUAGGCGGGAUAAUAAGUCAGUGGUGAAAUCCUACAGCUUAACUGUAGAACUGCCAUUGAUACUGUUAACCUUGAGUACAUUUGAAGUGGGCGGAAUGUGUCAUGUAGCGGUGAAAUGCUUAGAUAUGACACAGAACACCGAUAGCGAAGGCAGCUCACUAAACUGUAACUGACGCUGAGGCACGAAAGCGUGGGGAUCAAACAGGAUUAGAUACCCUGGUAGUCCACGCCGUAAACUAUGAUCACUCGAUGUGUGCGAUAUACUGUACGCGUCUGAGCGAAAGCAUUAAGUGAUCCACCUGGGGAGUACGUUCGCAAGGAUGAAACUCAAAGGAAUUGACGGGGGCCCGCACAAGCGGAGGAGCAUGUGGUUUAAUUCGAUGAUACGCGAGGAACCUUACCUGGGCUUAAAUGGGAGAAGACAGCUGCCGAAAGGUAGCUUUCCGCAAGGACUUCUUUCAAGGUGCUGCAUGGCUGUCGUCAGCUCGUGCCGUGAGGUGUUGGGUUAAGUCCCGUAACGAGCGCAACCCCUAUCUUUAGUUGCCAUCAGGUAAUGCUGGGAACUCUAAAGAAACUGCCUACGCAAGUAGUGAGGAAGGUGGGGAUGACGUCAAGUCAGCACGGCCCUUACGUCCAGGGCUACACACGUGCUACAAUGGCAAGUACAGAGGGUCGCUACCUGGUGACAGGAUGCUAAUCUCUAAAACUUGUCUCAGUUCGGAUCGAAGUCUGCAACUCGACUUCGUGAAGUUGGAUUUGCUAGUAAUCGCGCAUCAGCAAUGGCGCGGUGAAUACGUUCCCGGGCCUUGUACACACCGCCCGUCAAGCCAUGGGAGUUGGGGGUACCUGAAGCCGAUAACCGCAAGGAGUCGUCUAGGGCAAACCAAUGACUGGGGCUAAGUCGUAACAAGGUA
rnacentral:rRNA from 1 species